GUAUCCAGUAUAAUAUAUAAUAUUAUAUAAUACCUAUAAUAUAUAAUGUAAUAUAUGUAAUAUAUAAUAUAUAUAAUAUACAUGUAUAUAUACAGAGUAGGUUAUAUUUUAGUUAGGCAAACCUAGUGUACACAUGUGAAACAGUACUAGAAUUUGGAGCUAAAUAAGAGUUAAUACUUAUGUCGUGCUUAAAAUGUGAACCUCACAACAAUCCUUUGAAGUAGGUACAAUUAUUUCCUCAUUUUUCAGAGGAAGAAAUGGAGACACAGCAAAGUAAUUAAGUUUGUUGCUCAAGAUCGUACCGGAAAUCAUAAGUAGGCAGUCUGGCUCCAGAGGCGGUGUGGUUUCUCUGGGGAGCUUUACUUUAUACUUCGAAGGGACAUCUAAGCACUACUUUUGCAGCUGUAAGAGAUGCUCUUUUAAAAAUUUCAAAGUAGCGUAAGAGAUUGCAGUGUCUCUAAACUGCAGAAGGAAUGCUGGAUUUUCUAUAUAGAGGACAUUGAUAAUGGAAUGGUUAAGGGGACAUUAUAUAUUGAAAUGACUAAAGAUGGUGGAGAGAAACUGAAGUUUGAAUCUCAAAGCUGAGGAUUAUGAUUUUUUAUAGAUACUGAAUUCUAGAACAGUGAUUCACCAGGACAUAGGACAAUGAUUGCUUGUUACUAAUUUAGUAUCAAAAAACUUAUGCCAAAUAAAAUAAUAUUGAAUGAC
rnacentral:lncRNA from 10 species